rnacentral:lncRNA from 1 species
AGGUUGGCAAGCUAGUGAGAUCUCACCUGUGAUGUAUGCCAUGUGGUUUAGGGGAUGCCAGAAUCCUUGUACUGAGCAGGGGAUAUUCUUGAAGACCCUGUCAUAGAGUUCAUCAUUGAAAUGACUCACAAGGCAAUGUGAAUUGGAAGAUGAGGUUGAGUACAAGUUUACAAUAUUGUUUUCUUGAUUUGAAGGGACCUAAGGAAGUUUGCUAGGGUUAAAGACUUGAUUACUAUGAAUGCAGAACUGAAAUGAACUGGAAAACCAUUUGACGAAGUAAACUAUGGAUCUUGA